rnacentral:rRNA from 1 species
GCCCGGUAGCUAAAUGCGGAAGAGAUAAGUGCUGAAAGCAUCUAAGCACGAAACUUGCCCCGAGAUGAGUUCUCCCUGACUCCUUGAGAGUCCUGAAGGAAUGUUGAAGACGACGACGUUGAUAGGCCGGGUGUGUAAGCGCAGCGAUGCGUUGAGCUAACCGGUACUAAUGAACCGUGAGGCUUAACCUUACAACGCCGAAGCUGUU